AGUGAACGCUGGCGGUAGGCCUAACACAUGCAAGUCGAACGGCAGCACAGGAGAGCUUGCUCUCUGGGUGGCGAGUGGCGGACGGGUGAGGAAUACAUCGGAAUCUACUCUGUCGUGGGGGAUAACGUAGGGACACUUACGCUAAUACAGCAUACGACCUACGGGUGAAAGCAGGGGAUCUUCUGACCUUGCGCGAUUGAAUGAGCCGAUGUCGGAUUAGCUAGUUGGCCGGGUAAAGGCCCACCAAGGCGACGGUCCGUAGCUGGUCUGAGAGGAGGAUCAGCCACACUGGAACUGCGACACGGUCCAGACUCCUACGGGAGGCAGCAGUGGGGAAUAUUGGACAAUGGGCGCAAGCCUGAUCCAGCCAUACCGCGUGGGUGAAGAAGGCCUUCGGGUUGUAAAGCCCUUUUGUUGGGAAAGAAAUCCAGCAGGCUAAUACCCGGUUGGGAUGACGGUACCCAAAGAAUAAGCACCGGCUAACUUCGUGCCAUCCGCCGCGGUAA
rnacentral:rRNA from 1 species